CCACGUUGCUGAGUGGAGGCUGAUUUUGAUAUAUGUAUUGAAGACUAUAUACCCAUGACUACCUCUUCCUUACAGUACAUAUAUUCAUUGACAGUCCGGCAAAGCAUAGACAGCUAAUAUUUCCAUAGUCGAUCUUCGUAUUGAAGACUUAUAAACGAUGAUGUCGAGAAGAAGUUGCUUACUACAAAUCCUGUUGCUCGGAACCCUGCUGCUAUGGGCAAAGGCGGACGACGCUCAUUCGUCUGCGCUUCUUGCCCAAGGCCCUAAUCCGGUUGAGCUUGUACCCGGACGUCCCCGAGUCCCUUAUGCACCCCCAGCUCGCCGUCAACCGGGCAGCAAGCAUAGGGACAGUAUGAGUGCAUAUCCUUGCUCCCCUCACCACGGCCCUCGGACCAAGCCUUGUGAUGAUCCUCGUCGAUGCUAAUACGUACGAAGAAGUUGAAUAAAGUUCAUCGAAUUUACAUUCUGAUGCUUAAUCAAAUCGGACCCUUCUAUUAAAUUCUUCAUCGAAUUCACAACUCCUUCUGUUGAUAGCAUAUUUUUUUUCUCUUACUGGAUGGUUUGCUCAGUAUGUUUGACACCCGUAUUUUCAUCUGAUAUACUCUCUCCGUCUCAAUAUAAGUGACAUGAAUUUGUAUAUCAAUUUGUAUAAGAAUUUAUAUAAAUUCACGUCACUUAUUUUGACACGAAGAGAGUAUACCCAUAUGUACUCUGAGUAGCAAUUUCAAAGAAGUUAUACUCUUAAGUACUUGUACCGUAGAAACUAAAAGCUUGCCCUAAUUGCUCAUACAA